rnacentral:tRNA from 1 species
GGCAGUGUUGCCUGGUGGAAGAGGCACUGGACUGGGGCUUGGGAGACCUGGGUUCUAUUCCUGGCUCUGCUA